UCCAAACGGAGAAAAGCUCCGAGAAAGGAAAGCCAUGGCGAAGCCUCUUCAUCUGAUCAACCUUGCAUCCAGGACAACCUUCAUGAUUUUUCUUUGAAGCUGGGCUUCACAAAAUCCUCAACCAAUUGUUAGUCAUAAGCGGUUCUAGCGGAUAACGCAAUCGAGCUAGUAAAAGAGUGCUCCACAGAGGAAACAUUUGAGGUGCUUUUCGCCAACAUGAAAAGGUUCAAGAGCAUGUGAGCAAAGUUCUUCAUUCUUUUAGGAACAGACCUCAUGAUUCUAGAUGAAGUUACAAUCGGGGUUCACAAGGGAGCAAUGGGUAUAAGCAACAGAUUCAAGCACAUAGUCGGAUCAGGUUCAUACUUAUAACUACACAUUGCAAACAUCCGACCAAAGCUAAUAUACUGGCCUCGACAAGCAUAACUAUCAAGCCAUUCUAAAUACACCAAUGUUCUGCUACCGAAGAAUGCUCGACUCUACCAAGCAGAGGUAAUAGGUACUAAAGAGGUUAAGCUUGAUAGAAACUUAUCAACAACGGAUAUGGGAAGGUUCAUACUCGGUACAAGAUCAGAGAGUAGGGCAGUGGCUUGAUACGCAUCACAACCAGGGGCGGAUCUAGGUUGGUUGAGAAGGGUGCAGUUGCACCACAUGAAAUAUAAAAAAUGUUUGAUUUUGCAUUAAAAUUGUUAACUAUAGUGGUCUAGUGGUAAUGGGUGCACCACCUAGAUCAAGAGGUAAACAGUUCAAUUCCCCUCUAUAACAAGCUUUUGUUUUUUUUGCACCCUAUCAAAAUUUUGGUUGGAUCCGCCACUGAUCACAACACAUAAGGUUC